rnacentral:misc_RNA from 1 species
ACGUCAUUUUGUGAAACGGCGCAGCUCUUUGCAGUCUGCAGCCGAAGACGGUCAAGAUGAAGAUAUCCUCUCUCCUUAUUGGUAUUAUAUUCACCACCAUGGUGGAAGCCGCAGUAGGCUCACUGGAAGAGCGACCUGCUGGAAAAUCAAAGUCUCUUCUCCGGACGAAAAGGCAACAUCCAGUCCUCAUUUCCCAUCCGGUGCCUAUGCCUGACAGUGUUCCGGCCGAGUCUCCUGCUUCUGCCGACCCUGCCCUCAACGCCCAUGGCAAAGGCAUUGCACCCGAUGUAGGCGUAGAGAUCGAUAUCAACGCUCACAACCUACGAUGGGCAUGUGUCGAUAUAGACAUCGAUAUUGGUCGGUAACUUUCACCUUUAGAUUUGUGAGAAAACCAUGAAUUUAAUGUCUUUCUUUCUUGAAGAUUGUAUGUGAUUUAGUAGAAUACGCUGUGGUGUCGCAUGUUUUCCCCUGCUCGGCUGAAUAUUGAGUGAGCACGCUUUUUUUGUGGAUUUCACGAUGUUGUAACAUUGUUUUAUCACAGUGCAUUCCCUAAUACCUCUGUCAGCUGUUGACAGAUCCAAAAGCAGAUAUUCUGAAGUGAUGAGAAGCCAUUGGAAUGGCUGCUUUUGACGCCAUGAUGACGAAAGCCGCGACUCGACCUGAACGCAAAGAGCAAAACCUGAUAUAGAACCAAUUUAAAAGUACCCAAGAGCUCUGGAUCCGCUGGAGUUUCCUCGGAGUGACUCAUCACUGAAUUCGCGGAAUUCUAAGGAAUCGGAUUUGAAAGGACUCGCUCGAGCGAUGCAAAGGAGCCUUCCCUUGACGACAGCUCACAGACCUCACAACAGAAGAGCAACUUAUGCUACGUCACUACGUCUCACCAGCUAUGAAGGAACAAAGUCAGCACCGUUACAGGUAGUGGAUUGAGUUUUCUGAAAGGUUAGCGUUGUGGAGCCUUUGCUGACGAGAAGGCUAAAGACGACGAAGAUGCAAAAGAGAAAAUUUAAUGAUAAUGAUAAGUAACAGACCUGUAUAGCAUGAAAGUGAAUGGCAGGGAUUGGUAAGCGUUCUAAAUUCUAAUUUAAUGCCAUAUUCCUAACUACCUUGCAUUCCAACUAUGAAUUUCAUCAUGCAUGUACUGCACUCAAUAAAUCAAUGAUUAAUCAUAUUGCAUAUCUAUGUUGCUCUGUAAAUAUAUAGUUUAUAAAAUGAUUGUUAUCAGCAGAUGAAAUUUAUUAAAGAUAUGACAAUGUUAUAAUA